rnacentral:rRNA from 1 species
GACGAACGCUGGCGGCGUGCUUAACACAUGCAAGUCGAACGGAAAGGCGCCUUUGGGGGUUCUCGAGUAGCGAACGGGGGAGUAAAACGUGUGUAAACUGCCCUUGACUUCGGGAUAACUUCAGGAAAAUGGGGCGAAUACCGGGUAGGAAUCCUUGCUGCAUGGUGGGGGUUGGAAAGCUUGGGCGGUUUUGGAGGGACUCGCGGCUUAUUAGCUUUGUGGUGGGGUAGAGGCUUACCAAGGCUUUGACGGGUAGCCGGGCUGUGAGGGGGUGCAGGCACACUAGGACUGAGAGACGGCGCAGACACCUCUGGGAGACAGCGGUGGGGAAUAUUGUAGACUGGGCGGGAGCCUGUGGCAGAGACGCUCUGUGCGGGAUGACGGCCUUUGGGUUGUGAACCGCUUUUAGCAGAGGCGAAGCUGUUGUGACGGUACCUGCAGAAGAAGCACCGGCUAACUACGUG